GACAGAGGGUGCAAACGUUGCUCGGAAUUACUGGGCGUAAAGCGCGUGUAGGCGGACUGGUGUGUCGGAUGUGAAAUCCCCAGGCUCAACCUGGGAACUGCAUUCGAAACUGCCAGCCUUGAGUGGUGGAGAGGGAAGUGGAAUUCCUGGUGUAGAGGUGAAAUUCGUAGAUAUCAGGAGGAACACCAGUGGCGAAGGCGGCUUCCUGGACACCAACUGACGCUGAGACGCGAAAGCGUGGGAGCAAACAGG
rnacentral:rRNA from 1 species